rnacentral:lncRNA from 1 species
AUAAAAGAAGUUUUUCCACUUUGAAUUGCUAAAAGUGGCAUUUUUCCUAUGUGCAGUCACUCCUCUCAUUUCUAAAAUAGGGACGUGGCCAGGCACGGUGGCUCAUGCCUGUAAUCCCAGCACUUUGGGAGGCCGAGGCAGGCGGCUCACGAGGUCAGGAGAUCGAGACUAUCCUGGCUAACACGGUAAAACCCUGUCUCUACUAAAAGUACAAAAAAUUAGCUGGGCGUGGUGGUGGGCACCUGUAGUCCCAGCUACUCGGGAGGCUGAGGCAGGAGAAAGGCAUGAAUCCAAGAGGCAGAGCUUGCAGUGAGCUGAGAUCACGCCAUUGCACUCCAGCCUGGGCAACAGUGUUAAGACUCUGUCUCAAAUAUAAAUAAAUAAAUAAAUAAAUAAAUAAAUAAAUAAAAAUAAAGCGAGAUGUUGCCCUCAAACUUCACCUGGCCCCGGUCCUGGUUUGCUAAUGGCUGUGGGUGGGGGUUGCUGUGGGUGAUGACUGACUGGAUACAAAAUCCUAAGUGGCUUCAUGAAAUUUUGCCUAGGACUGGACUGUCUUUCUUUUAACUGUGAAAUGAUGGUUCUCCCUAACGUCUCCUCAAAGGAUACAAGAAAGUUGUUGUUGCUAGUAGACCGAGGGGUGGGAAUCACUGAAAUGGAAAAUCUAGAUGACAGUGCUGGGGAAGAGAAAACUAGAACAGCUCAGUUGAAGACAACCUUUACUGCAUGUUGACGCUGAUUUAGGCAAUAGCUUCCUAAAAAUCAUGUAUAAAGUUAGUUAGUUAGACAUGAAAUCUCUUCCCCAAUGUUGAUACCUGCCCACAAAAUAUUCUCACCUUCAGAGUAUAAGAAUCAUUCUUAAAGCCAAAUAUUCAGUUCAAGGCACAUACGUCAUCUGCAGUUGUAAAUUUGCAUUUAAUAUUUCACAAUUCCUGUAAGAGAGGCUAGUCAGGAGGGAAACCCUCAAGUUUAAAUCCCCACACUUACUUACUUACUGCUCAUCCGUCACUUUCGCUAAGUGAGAUUAAUAAUUCAGUAGCUGGUCCAGAACGCACAGCUUGGGAACGCAGAGGCCCAGGCCUCAUGUAAUUUCCCACUCCCGUAACUGAACGUGCUGACCCAUGUUGAUGUCUGCCUUCAUCCAGGUGGCAAAUCAGACAUGCUACGCUGCCCCCUUCAAACGAGUUCCUCGUGUUAGGGGCAAAGGUCACAGCCAAACUCUGCCACUGACAGCCAGUGCCUUGGCCUGGAUCCUCUCUGUGGAUGCAGGCCUACCCCUCCUCAGUCCAGCCUCAUCUACUAGACCAGCUUGGCCAUUCACUUUUCAGAUGUCUGUGAGCAGAGGACUGCAGACUGAACUCUCACUCAAGUUCUUCCAUUUGCCAAGCCCGAGGCCUUUUCCGGCUAACCAGCCCUCUCUGCGCUGUCUUGUCUCCUGACUCCCACCCUCACCAUUCACAGACCAUCACGACACAGAGGAUGCCAUGUUCUUUUAGUAAUUCACCAGCUCCAUGCAGGGACAUCACAGGGCUGCCCUCCAUGAGCAGAGGAGGAGGGCUGCCUGGCAGAGCGUUUCACACUCCAGGUUAGCCAGAAAGAGCAUCUUCAUUUUUGUUUCCACACAACACUUCUCUGUGAGCCUGUUGGCCAACAAAGUGGCGGCCGAUUGUUGGAGGAGCCAGCCAACCAUCUUGUCUAACUUCAGAUUCUUCAGGGCUAGAAUAUGUUCACCCCAGAGGCUUAGAUGAAGCACAUUUGCGGCUACUCGGGCAGAUGGUCUCUGCAACAGGAAGGGAAGCUGUAGCUAGAACAUCUGUUAACACAGUCUCAACCCAAAGCCUGCUUUGUUAGUGAGGGUCUUCCCUUCUCUGGUCCCAACCCAAUUCUUCCUCUACCCUAUCUCCUACUGAUGCCCUUCACUCAGGUGACAAAUACUGCCUGUCCCCUGCCCGUGCUCCAAGCUUUUCCAUGUGUACACCUCUGCAUGGGGCAGCAUGCAUUGUUGAAAUAGCCUUUCCCCCUGGGUGGAAAGCCUAGUGCCUCUUGUGCACAGCUAUCUGGUCCCUUGAACCAGGUAAGUAGUCUCCUCUAUCAUUUCAUAACUGGUUGCAGCUGUUGUUCUAACCUUCACUGCGCACCAAGAUAGCAGGCCACGUACAGAGAGCAGUUAACGGAGUGGCAGAACAGUGCUGGGGUGCAGGUAUGGCUCAGCUCUUUGCACUAAGCCUGCCCCUGAGCCAGCUGCCACUCCAAUUAUGGCUUCGGAUAGGUCUGCCUUUGCAUUCCUUUAUAUUAAUUUCACAAUGUCCAGAUCUGCUCUCAGGAGAUGUUUUCCAUCUCUCUCUGAUCAGUUCUCAGCUGCUUCCAUGAGCUACAUCUCCAUUAAACAUUUCUCAAAAAUGCCUCCUUUUCUCUCUCUGAAUAGCCUUUUUUUUUUUUUUUUUUUUUUGAGACAAAGACUUGCACUGUCACCUAGGCCAGAGUGCAGUGGCGCGAUCUUGGCUCACUGCAACCUCUGCCUCCAGGGUUCAAACGAUUCUCCUGCUUCAGCCUCCCGAGUACCUGGAAUUACAGGCGUGUGCCACGACACUCAGCUAAUUUUUGUAUUUUUAGUACAGACGGGGUUUUACCAUGUUGGCCAGGCUGGACUGGAACUCCUGGUCCCAAGUGAUCCACCCGCCUCAGCCUCCCAAAGUGCUGUGAUUAUAGGUGUAAGCCACCGUGUCUGGCCUCUGAACAACUUUUUCAGCAACUAAAAAAGCCACAGGAGUUGAACUGCUAGGAUUCUGACUAUGCUGUGGUGGCUAGUGCUCCUACUCCUACCUACAUUAAAAUCUGUUUUUUGUUCUCUUGUAACUAGCCUUUACCUUCCUAACACAGAGGAUCUGUCACUGUGGCUCUGGCCCAAACCUGACCUUCACUCUGGAACGAGAACAGAGGUUUCUACCCACACCGUCCCCUCGAAGCCGGGGACAGCCUCACCUUGCUGGCCUCUCGCUGGAGCAGUGCCCUCACCAACUGUCUCACGUCUGGAGGCACUGACUCGGGCAGUGCAGGUAGCUGAGCCUCUUGGUAGCUGCGGCUUUCAAGGUGGGCCUUGCCCUGGCCGUAGAAGGGAUUGACAAGCCCGAAGAUUUCAUAGGCGAUGGCUCCCACUGCCCAGGCAUCAGCCUUGCUGUAGUCAAUCACUGCCCUGGGGCCAGGACGGGCCGUGGACACCUGCUCAGAAGCAGUGGGUGAGACAUCACGCUGCCCGCCCAUCUAACCUUUUCAUGUCCUGCACAUCACCUGAUCCAUGGGCUAAUCUGAACUCUGUCCCAAGGAACCCAGAGCUUGAGUGAGCUGUGGCUCAGACCCAGAAGGGGUCUGCUUAGACCACCUGGUUUAUGUGACAGGACUUGCAUUCUCCUGGAACAUGAGGGAACGCCGGAGGAAAGCAAAGUGGCAGGGAAGGAACUUGUGCCAAAUUAUGGGUCAGAAAAGAUGGAGGUGUUGGGUUAUCACAAGGCAUCGAGUCUCCUGCAUUCAGUGGACAUGUGGGGGAAGGGCUGCCGAUGGCGCAUGACACACUCGGGACUCACCUCUGGGGCCAUCAGACAGCCGUUUCCGCCCCGAUCCACGUACCAGCUGCUGAAGGGCAACUGCAGGCCGAUGCUCUCAUCAGCCAGGCAGCAGCCAAAAUCUGCGAUCACCAGCCAGGGGCAGCCGUCUGGGAAGGAGCAAGCAAAGUGACCAUUUCUCCUCCCCUCCUUCCCUCUGAGAGGCCCUCCUAUGUCCCUACUAAAGCCACCAGCAAGACAUAGCUGACAGGGGCUAAUGGCUCAGUGUUGGCCCAGGAGGUCAGCAAGGCCUGAGAGCUGAUCAGAAGGGCCUGCUGUGCGAACACGGAAAUGCCUCCAGUCUCUGUGCGCGAUGCCCUGUUGAACCAGAUGGUCCACGCCUUCCAGCAGCUGCAGCAGCAUCAUGGCGGCGAGGCGGGGGCUGGGUGUGUUCACACAAAGUCUGCAGUGGAGAGGAAGCCACGAUACUUCACUGGGGCCAUGAGGAGCCAGAGGUGAGCAGGCCAAAGGGAAGCAGGAACAGGAGAUGCGAGGAAAGAACAGCAUGUGGACAGUGGAACCACGUUCCUACAAGUUCAAGAAUCAGUAACUGAUGGAAAUUCCCGUGGCUCACUCCUGUAAUCCCAGCAAUUUGGGAGGCUGAGGCAGGCAAUUGCUUGAGCCCAGGAGUUCGAGGCCAGCCCGGGCAACAUGGAGAAACUCUGUCUCUACAAAAACUACAAAAAUUAGCUGGGCAUGGUGGCAUGUGCCUGCAGACCCAGCUACUUGGGAGGCUGAGGUGGGAGGAUCACUUGAGCCCAGGGAGGUUGAGGCUGCAGUGAGCCAAGAUCACGCCACUGCUCUCCAGCCUGGGCAACAGAGUAAGACCCUGUCUCAGAAAAAUAAAAGAAAAUUUGAGUUUGC